GGCUGUCAAGUCGGAGACUGAGUGCCUGAGCAGGCGUGGACCAUGAAGGAGAGGAAUCUAACACACCGAGGUUGGAGCUGGGCAGUCUGAGGAAGUCAGAGAUGGCAGGAAGAAAUGCUAAAAAAUCCCUGAAGGAAACACUUAAUUCAGGACGUUGGCUCCUUGAAUUGAAACUCAACCAUCUUUGAAAUCUCCAGACGUAAUCUCCAAGCAGUUCAGUCAAAACCACUAUCACCGUGCUGGAGGAUCUGAUGUCACCUCCAUCAUGGAGGAGAAACCUGAGCCUGACUGCGUUGGACUUUCUGAUCAGUUCACACAAGAGGCCCCAGUUCAAGGCUAACAAUAUCUGACAUGUAAAGUAAACACAGUUUGCAGCCUGUUUGUUGCAACAAGCAGGACUGCAAGCUGAGAAGAGUCCAUGCGCUGGGAUCAUGUGAGCACAGUUCUCCAUUAUGAUUAAUGAGGAAGUUGAAUUGCAGUGCCCCCACUCUGAGAACAGUGACUGUCAAAAGAAUUCAACACAAAAAGCUGUAAAACAGAACAUUAAAACAAGCACUGGGCUGAAAUGUACCUCCAGGGGCAGGGAAGGGGCGGGUGGCGAGGUGAGUUAAUUUGUUUUUAUUUGUAGGUCUCAUUCCAAAAGGCGAUGUUUGGUUUUGCCUCCUGAACUGGUGCUGGAGAAGAGACAUGGCCCAUGAAACAGCGGUGGACCUUACCAAGCAGAACUAGAAGAUAUCUGUCAGAGUUCCAGACAUUGGUUCAUUUCCUCAAGAGAUUCAAGAUUGAAUUACCUCUGGCCAUUUAUCUGUAUGAGUUCCUGUACCAGAAUGCACCAUUUCCCUGAUUGCAAAGCAGGAAGCUUAUUUUGUAUGAGGAUUUGGAAGAGGUAGAGCCAGGGACCGGCCGACUUUCAAAGUCAGGAGUUGGUGGAUCUCAGCAGUGGAAAUGUGCUUAUUCAGAUCAGAGAAUAUACAGAGAAUGAGGGUAUCAAUUCCCACACAUCCCCGGAGACUCAAGCAGAAAUAUUGAGCAAUAAAGACAAAGAGAAUAAUUAGAGAAGCUGAAGAUCUCCAUGAAAAGGUUUUUGAUGUGGAUGCUGUAGAUCAGACAACAAAGAAAUCGAGAAAGAACAAAGAUUGCACUCCUGUCGCUGGCCUACAGACUCCAAAACCACCUCCCAACAUGUGGUCUUAUGGUGGCUCUGACUGGAGUGAAAAUUUUCCGUAGAAGACUGGUGUCUUGGACAUAAGUAAUUCAAAAAUAGGAGGCAGUGGAAAGGGUCACAUUGGUAAAUGCAAAGGCUGACUCAAUUUGGAACUUGGGUGGCAAGAACAUGAGACUCAAGGUGUAAGUAUAAAUGAACAGAUUUUGAAAAUAUGGAUAUAAAAGAAAAAAUAACACAAAAAAAUGAUCUUGGAGCUGGGACUGCACCAUUGCAAAAAUUUUAACUCGCCAAGAAAGCAGUGAUGUCUGAGAGAACAAGGAGUGAUAGCAAAUGCACAGUUCCAAGGGAACCAUCUGCAAGGAGCUUCCUCCCAACUGAGCAAGGUUACAGAUUGCAGAUUCUGGGCAACUGGUGUGAACUGAGAGGCACUCGGCUAAAGAUAAACCAAAGGCAUUCUUCUUUUGUUCAGAUAACAUGGGAUAUCUUCUCCAGCUUUUGGCAGUACCAAGUGCUAGGUUCUAGGAAUAUAAUGUUUCUCAGAGUAAGUCUGUUAUUUUCUAAAUAUCUUGGUGAUAAUUAUGUGGCUUUAUUUCUAUUGGACUCUAAAAAGAAAAUCAUGGGCACCAGAGUCUUGUUGUCAAACUAAUUUAACUUCCAAAGUCCUGAAGAAAAUUGAACCUAUUCCUGAGAAAACAGCCCAGGUUGCAUCUGCUGAAGGAAAACUAACUCUAUAUUGGCAUCACAUGCCCUUUAGUUAAGUCAGAGAAGAGUAAGAAGCAGGUUUGACAUUGUGGAAGACAGGGCGGUCAUUCCUCAAAGACCUAAACACAGAAAUACCAUUUGACCCAGCAAUCCCAAUACUGGGUAUACACCCAAAGGAAUAUAAGUCAUUCUUUUAUAAAGACACAAGCACAUGUAUGUUCAUUGUAGGACUAUUUACAAUAGCAAAGACAUAGAAUCUACCAAAAUGCCCAUGAAUGACAGACUGGAUAAAGAAAAUGUGGUACACAUACACCAUGGAAUACAAUGCAGCCACAAAAAGAAAUGAGAUCACAUCAUUUGCAGGGACAUGGACGGAGCUGGAGGCCAUUAUCCUUAGCAAACUAACACAGGAACAGAAAACCAAAUACCACAUAUUCUCACUUGUAAGUGGGAGCUAAAUGAUGAGAACAUGUAGACACAUAGAGAGUAACAAUACACACUAGGACCUAUCAGAGGGUGGAGGGUGAGAGGAGGGAGAGGAUCAGGAAAAAUAGUAAUGAGUACUAGGCUUAGUGUCUGGGUGAUGAAAUAAUCUGUAGAACAAACCCCCGUGACACAAUUUUACCUAUGCAACAAACCUGCACUUAUACACCUGAACUUAAAAUAAAAGUUGAAAAUAAAAAAGGCAGGGUGGGAUCCAUUUUAUUAUAUAUGUAUGUAAAUAAAUACAUAUAUAUACAUACACAUACAGUCAUGCAGUGCUUAAUGAUGGGGAUACAUUCUGAGAAAUGCAUCCUAAGGUGAUUUUGUUGUUGUGCGAACAUCAUGGAGUGUACUUACACAAACCUAGAUGGUAGAUGCUACUAUACACUUAGGUCGUAUGGUAUAGCCUAUUGCUCCUAGACUAUAAACCUGUAUAUGACUUCAAGGAAUAUUGUCAGUAAUUGUAACACAAUGGUAUUUAUGUAUCUAAAUAUAGAAAAGGUACAGUAAAAAUACUCGAUGAAAAAUGAAAUAUAGUACACCUGUAUAGCACACUGGUAUACCAUGAAUGGAGCUUACAGGACUGGAAGUUGCUUUGGGUGAGUCUGUGAGUGAGUGGUAGUGAAUGUGAAGGUCUAGGAGAUUACUGUAUACUACUUUAGACUUUAUAAACACUGUACACUUAGGAUACACUAAAUGUAUUUAAAAUAUUUUUCUUCAACAAUAAAUUAACCUUAGCUUACUGUAACUUUUUUACUUUAUAAACUUUCUCACGUUUUUUAACUUUUUGACUUUUUUUGUAAUAACGCUUAGUUUAAAACACUCAUUGUACAGCUGUACAAAAAAUAUUUCUUCUUUAUGUACUUAUUCUAUACACUUUCUUCUUUUUAUUUUAUUUUUUAAUUUUAAAACAUUUUUGUUAAAGACUAAAACACAAACACACACAGUAGCCUGAGACAACACACAGUCAUGGUCAUCAAUAUCACUGUUUUUCUUCUUCACCUCUUGUCCCGCUGUCUUCAGGGGCAAUAACAUGCAUGAACCUGUCAUCUUCUAUGAUAACAAUGCCUUCUUCUGGAAUCCCUCCUACAAGGACCUGCCUGAGGCUGUUUUACAGUUAACAUAUUUUUUGUAAGUAGGAGUAUACUUUAAAAUAACCAUAAAAAUAUAACACAGUAAAUACAUAAACCAGUAACAUAGUAAUUUAUUAUAACAGUCUAGUAUUAUGUACUAUACAUAGUUGCCUGUGCUAGACUUUUGUAAGACUGGCAGAGCAAUAGUUGUGUUUAUACCAGCAUCACCACAAACAUGUGACUAAUGCAUUGUGAUAUGACUACAAAGGCUAAGAAGUCAGCAGGCUAUAGCAAUUUUUCAGCUCCAUUAUAAUCUUAUGGGACUACUUUCAUACAUGUGGUCCAUCCUUGACUGAAACGUCAUUAUGUGGCACAUGACCAUAUACAUAUAUAUAUAUAUAAUCUUACAUUUGCAAAAUUAUCUGUAAUUUGCAAAUAAAAAAGAAUUCGAUGGGGGGUUCUUUUGGACUAUUAUAUAUAAGAAACAAACUUUAACAAGCAAAAGACUACUUGAAUUAACUUCUUUCUGGAAUCCCUAGUUGGGAGAAAUUUUAUUAUUGACUCAUGAGGUUUACAUUCAAACUUUUUGCAGUGCCCUAGUAGGCUACAUUGAAUAAUAUGGCUGGACAUAGUUCGAGGUUAAGAAAGAGAUCAGGGUAUGAAUUUUCAGCUUUGGGUAAAAUACCACCUUAGAGUCCAUUUAUUUAACAUUUUAUUGUGACUCAUUCCAGAGUCUUCUGGGAACAAAAUGUAAAACAGCCACUUGUAGGUCUAGGAGACAACCCAGUGGAGGUAUGGCUGGUAUUGGAAAAGUACAAGAACCUGGACACAAGGCUGUUGUAAAAAAAAAUGCUGCUCUCCUUCCCUGAGUGGGUAGCGGCUUAUUGACUGAUGAUGAGUGCAAUGUCUAGACACAAAGGGUUAAGACCUCAGAAACCUGGGGGAAAAUUAUGGGGGAAUAGUUCUUUCCAGCCCCUGAAGUUUCCCCCGAUAUAAACACUUCUGUCUUUUUCUAACCUUUAAUCACUAUUUUACCAGAAGUAAUAAGAUGAUUCAUCGAACUAGUAAAUUUGAGGACAAUAAUUUGGGUGUACUGACUUCAGCUCUUCCUUUUUUCUUUUAUUUACUUCUUCUUCUCCUCCUCUCCCAUCAAAAAGUCAGUAGGUGACGUACCUCCAUGCCCGAUGUGUAACCUUUGUGGUCUUUGCAUUUCAGGUCUGGUCUGGCAUGUGCAGGUGGUUAAGUGUCUCAGUCUCAUAUUUACUUGGUAGGUUUAUUUGGCUCAGACACUAAGCUACAUCAUCUCACUUAGUAGUUAUCAUGAAUCAAGGUGAAAAUUUUGACCCCAUCUGCUUCUUUUUUUCACACUUUCUCAACAUUUUUAGAACAUGGAUGGGAAAGAGGGAUGCUAUUUAUUAAGCCUGCUGAUUUCCUAGAAAACUGACAUGAAUCCCAUUUGGCAGAUGAAAAGAUUGAGUCUUUUGAGUGUGAACAAGUCAACCAAGUUCACGUCAUUAGCAAAGGAAAGGGGCCCAUAUUUGAAGCCACCUGUCUGGUUCUAUAACCUACCCUUAUAGCCAUCUUGCUGAUUUUUUGUUCUUUUCUUGUUCCUGGGUUGAACACAUACUUUAUUUCCUCAUUAAUGAAAUCAGAUUCUUUCUUUCAACGAAUUAAGUACUUAUUUGGUAACAAAACGAACUAGAAUGCGUAGAAGGUCUCAGAAUCCAUUGCUCUUCUAAGCUAAUGUUAACUCAAACAGAGAUUGAGAAAUGGAAAGAGGGAACAGGAAGAAAAGAGCAAAAGAAGAAACUUGGGAGCUGGAGAAGAGGACGUUUGGGAGGAUGGGGUUAUUGCAAAUGUCUAUUUAUGCUUCUAACUCCCUAUGGUGAGGAAAUGAUCAUGAAAAAUGACAACAAUUUCUCUUCAAGUAACUUGUGUGGUAAAAGUGGAAAAAAUAAGGGGCUUGGUUAAGUAUUAUGUAUGUUGUUAAUUACCACACACACACAAACACACACACACACAUAUACAUAUAUACACACACACACACACACACACACACACGCAUAAUUAUUUUUUAUACAGGGUCUCACACUGCCACCCAGACUGGAGUGCAGUGGCAUGAUCUCUGCUCACUUCGGCCUCCACUUCCUGGGUUCAAGUGAUUCUCAUGCCUCAGCCUCCUGAGUAGCUGGGACUACAGGCAUGCAUCAUCACGCCUGGAUAAUUUUUUGUAUUUUUUGGUACAGAUGGG
rnacentral:lncRNA from 10 species